ACGAGGGGGGCAAGCGUUGUUCGGAAUUAUUGGGCGUAAAGGGCGCGUAGGCGGUCGGGUAAGUCACCUGUGAAAUCUCUGGGCUCAACUCCGGGGCUGCCGGUCAGACUGGCGAGCUAGAGCACGGUAGGGGCAGAUGGAAUUCCCGGUGUAGCGGUGGAAUGCGUAGAGAUCGGGAAGAAUACCAGUGGCGAAGGCGUUCUGCUGGGCCGUUGCUGACACUGAGGCGCGACAGCGUGGGGAGCAAACAGGA
rnacentral:rRNA from 1 species